rnacentral:rRNA from 1 species
AUGAACCCACACAAAUCUUCGGCUGCUCCGAUCAGAUGCGAAGACGUAGACCUCAACCAGGUGCUGGAGGGUUUCGGCGGCUCCGUCGUCAGCUUCCCCGUUAGAUACUUAGGCCUACCAGUAUGCAUCAGCAGAACUAGGCUAGUCCACCUGCAAUACCUCAUCGAUCGCAUCCGGGCAAGACUGGCAAGCUGGAAGGGCCGGCUCAUGCCGAUAGCAGGCUGCCGGGUGCUGGUAUGCUGUGUGCUCUCUGCACUGCCAGCCUUCGCACUCGCCGUCCUGCGCGCCCCGAAGAAAUUCCACAAAGAGGUGGACAAAGCAAGAAGACGAUUUCUAUGGGCACAGGACGAGGAAAUAUCAGGCAGGAAGUGCAAGGUCAACUGG